UUUCGGCCGGGAAGAAAUCGCAUGGGUCAAUACCCUGUGUGGAUGACGGUACCGGAAUAAGAAGCACCGGCUAACUACGUGCCAGCAGCCGCGGUAAUACGUAGGGUGCGAGCGUUAAUCGGAAUUACUGGGCGUAAAGCGUGCGCAGGCGGUUUGGUAAGUCAGAUGUGAAAUCCCCGGGGCUCAAACCUGGGGAACUGCAUUUGAGACUGCCAAGCUGGAGUUUGGCAGAGGGGGGUGGAAUUCCACGUGUAGCAGUGAAAUGCGUAGAGAUGUGGAGGAACACCGAUGGCGAAGGCAGCCCCCUGGGCCAAUACUGACGCUCAUGCACGAAAGCGUGGGGAGCAAACAGGAUUAGAUACCCUGGUAGUCCACGCCCUAAACGAUGUCAACUAGGUGUUGGGAGGGUUAAACCUUUUAGUGCCGUAGCUAACGCGUGAAGUUGACCGCCUGGGGAGUACGGCCGCAAGGCUAAAACUCAAAGGAAUUGACGGG
rnacentral:rRNA from 1 species